AAUGUAUGUUAAGUGGAAAAGGAUGUGAAAUUGCACAGACAACCAGGAUGUUGGCUUAGAAGCAGCCAUACAUUAAAAGAGUGCGUAAUAGCUCACUGGUCGAGUGGUUUUGCGCCGAAAAUUACCGGGGCUCAAACAUACUACCGAAGCUUUGAAUUCACACGCAAGUGUGAGUGGUAGAAGAGCAUCGUAUGAUAGGGAGAAGGAGGAUUGAAAAAGACUCUGGACGAAAUACGAGAGAGAAUGUUGGCAUGAGUAGCGAGAUGUGUGUGAGAAUCACACAGGCCGAAAACCCAAGGAUUUCCAAGGAAGGUUCGUCCGCUUGGAGUAAGUCGGGACCUAAGGAGAGGCAGAAAUGCGUAUCUGAUGGACAACAGGUUAAGAUUCCUGUACCUACGCUUAUCGCCAAAGAGGAGAAGGAAUGACGCAGGAGGAUAAGAUCAGCGCACGGCUGGAAGAGUGCGUCCAAGCAGUAAGGCAGGCAUAUAGGCAAAUCCGUAUGCUAAUAAUGUUAAGCUGUGAUGGGGAGAGAAGUUAAGUAUCGAAGGAUCUGAUUUCACACUGACAGGAAAAGUUUCUAUCCAGAUAAGAGUAGCCCGUACCGUAAACCGACACAGGUGGGAGAGGUGAGAAACCUAAGGCCAGCGAGAGAACUGUUGUUAAGGAACUCGGCAAAAUGACCCCGUAACUUAGGGAUAAGGGGUGCCUACGAGAGUAGGCUUCAAGAAAAAGGCCCAAGCGACUGUUUACCAAAAACAUAGGUAUCUGCGAAACCGCAAGGUGAAGUAUAGGUGCUGACGCCUGCCCGGUGCUGGAAGGUUAAGAGGAGAUGUCAGGCAACGAAGCAUUGAAUUUAAGCCCCAGUAAACGGCGGCCGUAACUAUAACGGUCCUAAGGUAGCGAAAUUCCUUGUCGGGUAAGUUCCGACCCGCACGAAAGGCGUAACGAUUUGGGCACUGUCUCAACAACAGACUCGGUGAAAUUGUAAUACCGGUGAAGAUGCCGGAAACCUGCGACAGGACGGAAAGACCCCAUGGAGCUUUACUGUAGCUUAGUAUUGAAUUUAUGUAAUUAAUGUACAGAAUAGGUGGGAGGCUGAGAGAUUAGGUCGUCAGAUUUAAAGGAGCCGCCUUUGGGAUACCACCCUUUGAUUAUGUGAGUUCUAACCGGAAUCUUUGAAGCAAGGUACGGGACAGUGCUUGGCGGACAGUUUGACUGGGGCGGUCGCCUCCCAAAGAGUAACGGAGGCGUCCAAAGGUUCCCUCAGCAUGGUCGGAAAUCAUGCGAAGAGUGCAAAGGCAAAAGGGAGCUUGAUUGCGAGACCAACAAGUCGAGCAAAGACGAAAGUCGGGCUUAGUGAUCCGGUGGUAGAAAGUGGAAUUGCCAUCGCUCAACGGAUAAAAGCUACCCUGGGGAUAACAGGCUGAUCUCCCCCAAGAGUUCACAUCGACGGGGAGGUUUGGCACCUCGAUGUCGGCUCAUCACAUCCUGGGGCUGGAGUAGGUCCCAAGGGUUGGGCUGUUCGCCCAUUAAAGUGGUACGCGAGCUGGGUUCAGAACGUCGUGAGACAGUUCGGUCCCUAUCCGUCGCAGGCGUUGGAUAUUUGAG
rnacentral:rRNA from 1 species